rnacentral:lncRNA from 1 species
UCAGAGGGCUGUUGGAGGAGUAGAUGAGGUGCUACAUGCAGGGCCCUGAGAACUGUCCUGUCGCUCAGGAAGCAAGUUUUGCAGGGUGUGGACAAUCGGGCAAGUGACUGCAUGUGACAACAGAGAGAGGGCAUGGUACACGGUGGCAGAUGAGCCCGGGACUGGAGGCAGAUCUGGGUUCCAGUUCGGGCUCUACCAGCAGCACCCAUGUGUCCUUCUGUUCUCUGGGCCUCAAUUUCCUGUUGUAAAAUUCAGAACUUGGAAGAGGUAAGUGGUUAGGUCAUUCCUGAGACAUCCCAGAUAAUCACAGCCAUCCAAACGUUGGCUCGGGAGCCCUGAGUAACCAAGACUGCAGGAAGCAACAGUUUAGUAAGGGUUCAGAAUCCUGUGAUUAGGGCUCGAGAAUGAAAUACUCUUCUAAGAGCUUCUCCCAGACCAAAAGGAGCUAAUUAGGAAAGAAUGGUGGCAUUCUCUGGGCAAACUGGAGGAGCCCCUGGGCUUGGCCUCCUUAUGCCUUCCUCCUUGACCCUCCUCUAGCCCCCUUGGACACAACACAACGUCCCCCCUCUGCUUUUUCCCCAGAUACUAUGGUAAACCUGCUCUCAGAUCUUUCUCCACACCUAGAAAAAUUCAUUCAUCGACUAUACACUUUAAUGAAUAUGCACUUACUAUGUACCAGAUAUUCUUUGGCUGCUAGGGCAGAGCAGCAGGGACAUAGCCCCUGUCCCCGUGGGGUCAACAUGCUGGUGGAGGGAGUCAGAGGUAAUAAAAUAAGCAAGUAAGACACACAGUAGAGCAGGCAGAGUUGGCGGAGAACUGGAUCUAACUGGGUUGGGGUUUUGCCAAGCAAGUACAGUCCAACUUGGAGUGUGGAGGGAAGGGUAUAGAAAAGGUAGGGACUAGAAUAACUAACCCUGGAAUUUAGGCUGGGAAAGGAGGGAGUAGGGAUUUGAAAGCGGGUGAGGUCAGUAGUCUGUGGGGCCCUGAGGGGCGAUGGCUCCAAGGCACGAGCCGGAAAGAGGUUUGACAGUGGCUUCUCUGGAGGGCUCAAGCUUGACCAGGAAACUGAGUGCCGAGCCCUGGAAGAUCACUGGGGAGAGGAGGUCAAAGAACUGGGAGGCCAGGGCACCAUCGGCGGGCUGGUAAGUGGAUGGUGAAACCACCAGGCAGGGGGCAGGAGGAGCUGGAGAGAGGACGCGAGAUGGGAGCUAAAAUCCUAAAAUCCGCAGGGAGUGCGGAAAGCAGUGACAGCAGUGAGCGCGGGGAGGCUGGUCCUGAGUCUGGGAUGGGGCGAUGGCGUUCAAGAAGACAUAUUUAAGAGUACUAUGUAAUUUUACGUGUGGGAAGAACCUUUUGUUUUUGUAAUUAGAACUACAGAAAGGGACAGAGCUGUUUAUGUCAUGAAAAGCAGGCCUGAGCAUUAGAAGACUGAGAAACACCUGGGAGGAUCUUGUUUCAACAGAGCUCAAAGCCGUGGCAAAAGGACGGAGCUCGAAUUGUGCAAUUGUGAGUGACUCGAAGCUGGGUGGGAAAGCGUCUAGUUUCUUAUGCAUAAAGGACCUUCCUGUUGUCUCUGAAAUCAUACCAAGUAGAUGCCACCAUUUCAGCAGAGGCUAAGAGUUCAAGAUCGGCCUGGGCAACAUGGCCAGGCAACAUGUAAAAAUACAAAAUUUAGCUGGGUGUGGUGGUGGGCGCACCUGUAAUCCCAACUACUUGGGAGGCUGAGAUGGGAGAAUCAUUUGAACCUGGGAGGUGGAGGGUGCAGUGAACUGUGAUUGUACCACUGCACUCCAGCCUGGGUGACAGAGUAAGACCUCGUCAAAAAAAAAAAUCCAAAAAUGUGGGAUCUGUUUAAACCCUGGCUCUGCUCCCUGCUACUCAUUACCCUCAUCUGUGCAGCAGGGGUGAUACCAGCCCUCACCCCUCUGUUUCUGAGAAGUAGAUGAGCGUGUAUGUGCACAGAGACCUGCCUGCAGUGUUGUGAGGACUCACAAAAUGUUGGCUAGAUAUCCUAAUCUUUCUCAUGUUUGUUGGCAAACAAAAACAGGCUGAGAUGGCCCUGUGCCAUUCGUAUAUCUGUGUGUGGAAUAACAGACAGUAUAAAGCUGAAAAGCAGGUCCCUCCCUGGCUAAUUGCAUUUCAGCAGCCGCUGGGAGGCAGUGUGGCGGGGGGCGGGGAGUGAAACUGUGCGGGGAGUCAGGGAGCCUGGGUUUCCUCCUCAGCCAAUGAGGCCAAGGCCAAAUCAGGAUGUCCCUGAGCCCCUGUUUGCCUACCUGUAACGUGGGGAUGACGGUUCCUGCCAGGUACCCACAAGGCUGUUGUGAGGACUGAAUGAGGAAAUGCUCCUUGAAGAUAAAUGACAAUGCCACAGAAGAGCGGAUGCAGCUCCCCUGUGCUGAGUACUCACCUACUGUGUGCUGGGCACAGGGGCAGAGCCACCCACCCCUCCCUGCAGCAGUGCCUGGAAGGCAGGACCAGCAUCCUGAUAGCCAGAGUUGAGACAGAGUUUAAGGGCCUGCCAGGCAUAACUCCCUCGCCAGGCAUAGAAAUAAAGGAACAUCUUGAGUUCUUUCAAGGGAAGUUCCAGGCACCUAGCUAGCCCUGAGAGUAAAUGAACAACAUGAUAAGCAAGAAGGAAAUAAUAGCUUUUCAAAAAAAAUAGCCAAGGAAGUUAGAGUCACAAAAUACUUGGUUCCCUAUUGAAACUUAAGAUAACAUCUUAAUAUAUGUUCCUGAGUUGUUUUUCAGAAACCCAGGCCCCCAGCAAAUGGAAAAUGCCAUCCACUGGCACAGAGACUUCAGUUGGGAGCCGAGGACUGAACUCAGACCACCAUUCUUUGUUCAACAUUUCUUCCUGAGGGGCCUGGAGGAAGUCACACCCACAGGCCAGAGCUCAACAUUCCUUUCUGCUGACCCCAGGCACCAGUCCAUGGCACUCCCUAUGCCUGCAGGAUACCACAUCAAAGCAGAGUUGGGGGAGCAUUUCAGGAGGUUCCUGUGAAAAACCUACAUGCACACACCCCCACGUGCAGCUGCAGACUGCUAUCUAUACACGAAGUUAUGCAUCGCAGAGUCGACUGCAAAAGGCUGGAGCCCACACAGCGUCUAUCAAUAGGGAACGGGUUAAAUCGACCACAAGAUUUCCAUAUGACGAUGGAACACUUUCCAGCCAAGAAAGGAGGAGGAAGUCCUCACUGCUCUGAUACGGAACAGUCACCAAGACAUAUUUUAAGUAAAAAAAAGGCAGCAUGCAUAACCAGGGAAAUGAAAACUAAAACCACAGUGAGUUACAAUUUCACACAGAUCCAUCUACAAAAAAAAAAAAGCUGAUAAUUGCAGGUGUUGGUGAAGAAGUGGAGUGAGGGGAAUGCUCAAACUACUAGUGGGUGUGCGAAUGGUUAUAACCACUUUUUAAAAUUUUGGCAUUAUCUACUGAAGUUGACAAUGUACUUUCCCAAUGGCCUUGCAAAUGCCCUGGAGAAGUUCUUACCCAACCCCCGCCAUUCCCCCCAACACACACCAAAAGAAACAAUUAAGAACAUUUGCACCAGCUCUGUUCCUAGAACCCCAAAACUGAGGCCAGCACUGAGGCCAAGCACAGUGGCUCAUGCCUGUAAUCCCAGCAGGCAUGAGCCACCCUUUGGGAGCCUGAGGCCGGAGGAUUAUUGAGGUUGAGAGUUCAAGACCAGCCUGGGCAACAUAGUGAGACCUUGUCUCUAUAAAAGAAGUUUUAAAAAUUAGCCAGGUGUGAUGGCUCAUGCUUGUAGUCCCAGCUAAUUGGGAGGCUGAGGUAGGAGGAUCGUUUCUUGAGCCCUGGAGGUUGAGGCUGCAGUGAGCCAUGAUUGCACCACUGCACUCCAGCCUGGGCAACAGAAUGAGACCCUGUCUCAAAAAAUAAAAUUAAAUUAGAAAACAAUAAUAAUUAUUAUUAAUAAAUAAAAUAGUCCAAUGAAAAUAAUCAUACUAUCUCCAUGCAAUGGAAUUCUAUACAAGAGUGAAAAUGAACUAACUCCGGACAUGCGUAUCAGUACACUGAACUUCAGAACUAUAAUUAUGGGUGGGACAAAAGCCAGCCAUAGAAAACUAUUCUAUUCAUAAUCCCAAAAAGGUAGUAUACCAUAUUCAAUUAUUAUAUAUAUUUAUGUCUUGUUAUAUAUAAUGUUUAUUACAUUUAUCUUAGUAUAAAAAUAUAGUAUAUUUAUCAUAAUCUAUUAUAAACAAGUAGUAGGAUUAUAAAAAGACAAAAAGGGCAGGAUAAGCGUAAAAUUCAUGAUAGUAUUUAGGGGAAGAGGAGGGUGGGGCUGGAGAGAGGCACAUGGUUUCAAAAGCCCAGCUUCUUUGUCUAAAACAGGGCGUGGGUACCCAUACUGGUCUAUUGUAUUGUGGGUGUCUUUAAAAUGUAUAUAUAUUCUAUAACUACUAUUUUUGUAUCUACUCAAUAUUUAAUUUUAAAAUUUUAAAUGAGGCCUAGAACACUAUAAAAAGUAUGCUACCAUUUGUAUAGAAAAAGUGGACACACACAUCACUCAUGUGCAUAGAUUAAAGUGUCUCUGGAAACUUACACAUGCAACUGGUGAAACUGGUUUCCUCUGGGGAGGAGAACUGGGAGGCUGGGGACAAGGAGGGGCAAUAAAUCAAUUGAAAUUAAAAAUCACAAAAUUUAAGGAGAAGGAGACAAAGAAGGGAAGGAGGAAGAGAAGGGAGGGUGGAGGGGAGAGGCCAAGUCCUGGUCCCAGGAGGGACAGGGAGCAGAAAGAGGAGGACUGGCCAGGCUCUGGCUAUCAAAACCUGUGUGUGCCACAGGCACGAGUGGAGCCAGAAGCCUGCAGUCCUGCCCAGGAAAGCCUGUGUCCUCCGCGCACAACUCAGGCUUAGACCCAGAGAAUGCUCUUUCUUGCACCUGAGGACGGGGCUGGCUUCAAACAGUUGCCCAGGUUGACCCUGGCUCUGCAGUCUUUUGUUUCCAGAGCUUUGCUUCCAAACGAGGCUCCCUUGGGUCUCUUUCCCUGGCCCUGCCUUCUUAUCUCCAACCUUCACCCCACCUGUGAUCCAAGCGAUUCCUUUGAAGUUGCUUCAGAGUCUUCUGAGCCUUCAUCCUUGAUGACUCUGAAAUGUGCGUCUGUGGCACCAAGGUCAGCCAACAGCAAGUAGGCCCUUUUCAUCUCCUUUUAAACCUUCCCCUCAAGGACUCAGUGUCCUUGCUGUAUUGCCUUAUCAAAACCUGCUCACAUAUCCUUUGUUCACACUGGGAUACCGGUCAUUUAAAGGAAAACAGGCCCACUCUAACCAGGGUCACUGCCAAGUCCCUAAGUAUCAUGCCCUUGAGAGGUAAAAGCAUAAAGCACUAAGGGUAGAAUUUUGGGCAACAGCCAGUGGACAAGGACAAAAUGGGUGCAAUAUGCAGGGGUCCCUUCUGCCCCACCGGUAACCAUAACACCUCAGGACACAGGCUGGGGUCUGUAUUCAAAAGUGGGUCCCUCAGACCGGGCACAGUGGCUCACGCCUAUAAUCCCAGCACUUUGGGAAGCCAAGGCCAGCGGAUCCCUUGAGCCCAGGAGUUUGUGACCAGCCUGAGCAACAUGGCGAAACCCCAUCUCUACAAAAAAUACCAAAAUUAGUCUAGUCGGGCAUGGUGGUGCACACACCUAUGGUCCCAGCUAUUUGGGAGGCUGAGGGGGGAGAAUCGCUUGAGCCCCAGGAGGCAGAGAUUGCAGUGAGCUGUGAUCGAGCCACUGCACUCCAGCCUGGGCAACAGAGUGAGACCCUAUCUCAAGAAAACAAAAACAGAAAGUAAAAAAGCAAUCCUCGAGCAAAAGUGGGUCCCUCAGAGCCCAAUGACAGUGAUGAGGAGGAUGAGGUGGGAAAGGUAGUGUUACUCUGAACUAAAAAGGACUGCCCAGUGUGACCCUAUCUCCCAAACAGCCCAUGCAGGGAUCUGGGUGGCACCAUAGUACAGAAGUGGGUGCCAAGAGAGGCCUGGGCUGCACAGCCAGGUGCAUACAUGCCCUGGAGUCCAGGACAGGAUCAGCAGCAAAUCCACUCCAGGGAGCUCUCCCCCCUCACCAUCCUCUCAAUCAGGGUUCCCCAGUUGAAAAGCACCUUGGCAGUUCAUAAUUCUCCCUCUAAAGCCAGAAAGUGCUGUAAAGGAUAACAGAAGCCUGGCUGCACAGUGGAGCUUAAUGGAAGUCAUUCAACAAGCAGGUCUGGAGCAAACAUCAUGGACCAGCAGUACUGUGUGUUGGCACAGAUGUGAAGCAACUAUACUCUGAUACGGCUUGGAUAUGUGUCCCCACCCAAAUCUCAUAUUGAAUUUUAAUUCCCAGUGUUAGAGGAGGGGCCGGGUGGGAGGUGACUGGAUCAUGGGGGCAGAUUUCCCCCUUACUGUUCUCACGAUAGUGAGUUCUCAGAUCUGGUUAUUUUAAAGUGUGUAGCACCUCCCACUUUGCUCCCUUCCUCCUGCUUUGGCCAUGUAAGAUGUGCCUGCUUCGCCUUCCCCUUCCGCCAUGAUUCUAUGUUUCCUGAGGCCUCCCCAGCCAUGCUUCCUAUACAGUCUGCAGAACCGUGAG